UCCAAAAAUUAGGCAAGUCCACUCUAUAUACUUAUUCAAAGUGGAAGUAACUAUAUAGAGUGUAGGCUCAGGGGUCCACAAUGCUUACAUGGAUGCAUGAUCAAAGCUGCUCAUCAGUUUUAUCCUUAAAGAAAAAGGGAAGAAAAAUCUGUCCACAUAUUUAUAUAUAAAAAAUUCCAUAGCUAUCCUCCUCCAUCUGCUAGUUACAAGUGGAGCAUUGGUAACAGAGGGGGGCUUUGCUACUUCAUAUGGGGAUGGAUAUGGACUUCAUUCGAUAUGGUUGUUUUUGCAGGAAAUAUUUAUGACUGAACAUUUAAUUUUAGAUAGUGUAACUCAGAUUAUGAGUGUAUAUACUGUUUUAUUACUUGACCUCUAUGCAUGGUAGGUUGGUGCUGACAAAGGUCCUCUAUGUGGCAUGAGUUCUAGUUCUUGGGGUGCAUUUGAGAAGUCUCGCCUCAGGCGUUGCUGAAGUCCAUUGAUUUUUUUUUCCUUUUGCCUUUCCUUGUGUCUCAAUCUGUAAAUUUUCUGUCCAUUAUGUAACCUUUCAUUCUCAGGCCCCCUGUAAAUGAGGCUAGUUGUAAAUGAAUUACAAGUUGUGUUUGAAUGCUAAUUUAAUCUUGUAAAGGUCUUUUGAUUUAGAAGAUUCA